UGGAAGUAAAAGUCGUAACAAGGUCUCCGUUGGUGAACCAGCGGAGGGAUCAUUACCGAGUUUACAACUCCCAAACCCAAUGUGAACCAUACCAAACUGUUGCCUCGGCGGGGUCACGCCCCGGGUGCGUCGCAGCCCCGGAACCAGGCGCCCGCCGGAGGGACCAACCAAACUCUUUCUGUAGUCCCCUCGCGGACGUUAUUUCUUACAGCUCUGAGCAAAAAUUCAAAAUGAAUCAAAACUUUCAACAACGGAUCUCUUGGUUCUGGCAUCGAUGAAGAACGCAGCGAAAUGCGAUAAGUAAUGUGAAUUGCAGAAUUCAGUGAAUCAUCGAAUCUUUGAACGCACAUUGCGCCCGCCAGUAUUCUGGCGGGCAUGCCUGUCCGAGCGUCAUUUCAACCCUCGAACCCCUCCGGGGGGUCGGCGUUGGGGAUCGGGAACCCCUAAGACGGGAUCCCGGCCCCGAAAUACAGUGGCGGUCUCGCCGCAGCCUCUCAUGCGCAGUAGUUUGCACAACUCGCACCGGGAGCGCGGCGCGUCCACGUCCGUAAAACACCCAACUUCUGAAAUGUUGACCUCGGAUCAGGUAGGAAUACCCGCUGAACUUAAGCAUAUCAAUAAGCGGAGGA
rnacentral:rRNA from 1 species